UAGCAUUUGCAGCAAUUUGUCUUUCCCAGCUUCGUCCCAGGACAUCCGGGGAAACACGCUUUUGUCUGCACCAUGAAGCGAAGGGUCCAAUAUUAUCCUGCCUGUAGUCCUCGUUGGGGGUCCUGACCGCAGAAAUCAGUAGGUAUGGACGUGGAUGGGACAGGAGGCUGUCACUGUGGCAGAGGCAAUGUUUGAUGGAUAGAAAUGAUAGUGGGAAAACACAGUGUGGAUACAGAGGACAGUGAACAUGAGAGGAGCCUUGGAUAGUGAGACGUGAGGGAGCCAAAUGUCCUAGGAG
rnacentral:lncRNA from 1 species